GACGUAGGGGGCGAGCGUUGUCCGGAUUUAUUGGGCGUAAAGCGCGCGUAGGCGGCUCGUUAAGUCGGAUGUGAAAACCCGUGGCUCAACCACGGGCCUGCAUCCGAUACUGGCGGGCUCGAGGCAGGCAGGGGAGAUCGGAAUUCCUGGUGUAGCGGUGAAAUGCGCAGAUAUCAGGAGGAACACCGGUGGCGAAGGCGGAUCUCUGGGCCUGUCCUGACGCUCAGGCGCGAAAGCUAGGGGAGCAAACAGG
rnacentral:rRNA from 1 species